rnacentral:rRNA from 1 species
UACGUAGGGUGCGAGCGUUAAUCGGAAUUACUGGGCGUAAAGCGUGCGCAGGCGGUUUUGGAAGCCCGAUGUGAAAGCCCCGGGCUUAACCUGGGAAUGGCAUUUGGGACUGCAAGGCUGGAGUGUGGCAGAGGAGACUGGAAUUCCUGGUGUAGCAGUGAAAUGCGUAGAUAUCAGGAGGAAUACCGAUGGCGAAGGCAGGUCUCUGGGCUGACACUGACGCUCAUGCACGAAAGCGUGGGGAGCAAACGGG